rnacentral:rRNA from 1 species
UGAGUAACACGUAUCCAACCUGCCGUCUACUCUUGGACAGCCUUCUGAAAGGAAGAUUAAUACAAGAUGGCAUCAUGAGUCCGCAUGUUCACAUGAUUAAAGGUAUUCCGGUAGACGAUGGGGAUGCGUUCCAUUAGAUAGUAGGCGGGGUAACGGCCCACCUAGUCUUCGAUGGAUAGGGGUUCUGAGAGGAAGGUCCCCCACAUUGGGACUGAGACACGGUCCAA